GAGGCUGUGGCUCAGUGGUGGAGUGCUCACCUAGCAUGUGUGAGGUGCUGGCUUCGAUCCUCAGCACCACA
rnacentral:tRNA from 1 species